rnacentral:misc_RNA from 1 species
GAUGAGAACGCAGCGAAAUGCGAUAAGUAAUGUGAAUUGCAGAAUUCAGUGAAUCAUCGAAUCUUUGAACGCACAUUGCGCCCGCCAGUAUUCUGGCGGGCAUGCCUGUUCGAGCGUCAUUUCAACCAUCAAGCCCCCCGGCUUGUGUUGGGGACCUGCGGCUGCCGCAGGCCCUGAAAAGCAGUGGCGGGCUCGCUGUCACACCGAGCGUAGUAGAUCUCAUCUCGCUCAGGGCGUGCUGCGGGUUCCGGCCGUUAAACCACCUUCAUAACCCAAGGUUGACCUCGGAUCAGGUAGGAAGACCCGCUGAACUUAAGCAUAUCAAUAAGCGGAGGA